GACGAACGCUGGCGGCGCGCUUAACACAUGCAAGUCGAGCGGAAAGGCCUGCUUUCCCUUGUGGAUUGCGGGUACUCGAGUGGCGAACGGGUGAGUAACACGUGAGUGAUCUGCCCCCAACUUGGGUAUAAGCCUGGGAAACUGGGUCUAAUUCCCGAUAGGACUGCAGGGUGGUGCCUGUGGUGGAACACGAUUUUCUAGUGGUUGGGGAUGAGCUCGCGGCCUAUCAGCUUGUUGGUGGGGUAAUGGCCUACCAAGGCGGCGACGGGUAGCCGGCCUGAGAGGGUGGACGGUGGCAUUGGGACUGAGAUACGGCCCAGACUCCUACGGGAGGCAGCAGUGGUGAAUAUUGCACAAUGGGCGGAAGCCUGAUGCAGCGAGGCCGCGUGGGGGAUGACGGCCUUCGGGUUGUAAACUCCUUUCGACCGCGAGGAAGCCACCUGGUUGGAAGGGUGGUGACGGUAGUGGUAGAAGAAGCACCGGCUAACUACGUG
rnacentral:rRNA from 1 species